GGGGAGCCUGGUCAACUUGGCCCAGACCUCAGCUAUAUAGCUGAUGGGCUGAGUCAGAGGGCCGAGACUCUCC
rnacentral:pre_miRNA from 1 species